GGCGGCGCUGUGUUCAGAAGGACACUGUAGACAUCACAAUGCCUUGCAGAUAUUGUGCUGUUACAGUGUCAUCUGAUUGCCCUUCAAUAAGUAAACCAAAGUCUAUACAGAGGUGCGACCUGCCCAGACGCUUCUCAUCUGUGAAUGCUGGAUGUCAUUCUGUGUGCACCAU